AAAAAGACAAACUCUGGUUUUCGUGUCCAACGUUUGACCGUCCGUCUUAUUUAAAAAAAUUAUAAAAAACUUAAAAAGACAAGUCAUGCAUAAAAUAUUAAUCAUGUUUUAUCAUCUAACAACAAUGAAAAUAUGAAUUAUAAAAUAUUUUAUAUAAGACGGAUAGUUAAAAUUAGACAUGGAAACCUAUAGUUUAACUUUUU
rnacentral:pre_miRNA from 1 species